UGCGAGAAAGCCAAACCCAGAGAAAUCUGGGGGCGGAAAGCCACGGACCCGAUUUUUUGAAAAUUAAAAAUUAGAAGAAGGGGAGCCGGGCUGCCGAAA
rnacentral:ncRNA from 1 species